rnacentral:rRNA from 1 species
CCAGACUCCUACGGGAGGCAGCAGUGGGGAAUAUUGGACAGUGGGGGGAACCCUGAUCCAGCGACGCCGCGUGAGUGAAGAAGUAUUUCGGUAUGUAAAGCUCUAUCAGCAGGGAAGAAAAUGGCGGUACCUGACUAAGAAGCCCCGGCUAACUACGUGCCAGCAGCCGCGGUAAUACGUAGGUGGCAAGCGUUUUUCGGAAUAACUGGGCGUAAAGGAUGCGUAGGCGGUUAAACAAGUUAUAUGUUAAAUAUAUAGGCUUAACCUGUAGAAAGCAUAUAAAACUGUUUAACUAGAGUGCAGGAGAGGUAAGUGGAAUUCCUAGUGUAGCGGUGAAAUGCGUAGAGAUUAGGAAGAACACCAGUGGCGAAGGCGACUUACUGGACUGUAACUGACGCUGAGGCAUGAGAGCAUGGGGAGCAAACAGGAUUAGAUACCCGGGUAU